UUGCAAGUUCUUAAGAGCGAACGGUGGAUGCCUUGGCAUCUGGAGCCGAAGAAGGACGUAGUAAUCUGCGAUAAGCCUCGGGGAGUUGAUAAACGAGCGUUAUAUCCGAGGAUUUCCGAAUGGGGAAACCCAGCAGGCGCCUAUAUGGUUGCUUGUUACUCCCGCCUGAAUAUAUAGGGCGGGUAGAGGGAACGUGGGGAAGUGAAACAUCUCAGUACCCACAGGAAGAGAAAACAACAUGUGAUUCCGGGAGUAGUGGCGAGCGAAACUGGAUGAGGCUAAACCGUGCGUGUGUGAUACUCGGUAGGGGUUGCACGUGCGGGGUUGUGGGACAUGCUUGAUUGUUCUACCGGACUUUCAGCGUAUGUUGUGCGUAUAGGAGAACACCUUGGAAGGGGUGACCGGAGUGGGUGAGAGUCCCGUAUCUGAAAUGCGUGCGCAGCGUGGUGUGUAUCCCGAGUAGCGCGGGGCCCGUGAAAUCCCGUGUGAAUCUGCCAGGACCACCUGGUAAGCCUAAAUACUACCAGAUGACCGAUAGCGGACUAGUACCGUGAGGGAAAGGUGAAAAGUACCCCGGGAGGGGAGUGAAAUAGUACCUGAAACCGUUUGCUUACAAUCCGUCAGAGCCUCCUUGUAGGGGUGAUGGCGUGCCUUUUGAAGAAUGAGCCUGCGAGUUAGCGGCAUGUGGCGAGGUUAACCCGUGUGGGGUAGCCGUAGCGAAAGCGAGUCUGAAUAGGGCGAUUUGAGUCGCGUGUCCUAGACCCGAAGCGAAGUGAUCUAGCCAUGGCCAGGCUGAAGCACGUGUAAGAGCGUGUGGAGGGCCGAACCCACUUAGGUUGAAAACUGAGGGGAUGAGCUGUGGUUAGGGGUGAAAGGCCAAUCAAACUUCGUGAUAGCUGGUUCUCUCCGAAAUGCAUUUAGGUGCAGCGUUAUGUGUUUCUUGCCGGAGGUAGAGCUACUGGAUGGCCGAUGGGCCCUACAAGGUUACUGACGUCAGCUAAACUCCGAAUGCCGGUAAGUGAGAGCGUAGCAGUGAGACUGCGGGGGAUAAUCUUCGUAGUCGAGAGGGAAACAACCCAGAUCAUCAUCUAAGGUCCCAAAGCGUGUGCUAAGUGGAAAAGGAUGUGGAGUUGCUUAGACAACCAGGAGGUUGGCUUAGAAGCAGCCACCCUUGAAAGAGUGCGUAAUAGCUCACUGGUCAAGUGAUUCCGCGCCGAUAAUGUAACGGGGCUCAAGCACACCACCGAAGAUAUGGCAAUCAACAGUUAGACUAGCAUUUUGUGUUCAGUUUGUUGGUUGGGUAGGAGAGCGUCGUGUCACGAGUGAAGCAGCAGAGUGAUCUAGUUGUGGAUGUGACACGAGUGAGAAUGCAGGCAUGAGUAGCGAAAGACGGGUGAGAAACCCGUCCUCCGGAAGACCAAGGGUUCCAGGGUCAAGCUAAUCUGCCCUGGGUAAGUCGGGACCUAAGGCGAGGCCGACAGGCGUAGUCGAUGGACAACGGGUUGAUAUUCCCGUACCGGCUGGUAACCGUUCAACACAAUCCAUUAAGUGCUAAGAAAAUUUUUCCUGGUUUACUUCCUUUCGGGGUUGUUUACUGGGUGUGUUUUCGAACCCGGUUUUGGUGCGUGAGCGUGAGGUGUGACGCAGGAAGGUAGGUAAUCCCGGGCGAUGGUUGUCCCGGGCUAAGCAUGUAGCCUGUUCCUUAUUAAUAGUUUGGGACAUUGGGUGAGAUGUGAUGGGGAGCCGUUUUGGUGAAGUUACUGAUCCUAUGCUGCCGAGAAAAGCAUCGGCGUGAGGUUGCUGGUUGCCCGUACCCCAAACCGACUCAGGUGGUCAGGUAGAGAAUACUAAGGAGAUCGAGAUAAUCGUGGUGAAGGAACUCGGCAAAAUGCCCCCGUAACUUAGGGAGAAGGGGGGCCAUCCGCUUAUACCCACUUGCUGGGGAAAGGGUGUGGUGGCCGCAGAGACCAGUGGGAAGCGACUGUUUACUAAAAACACAGGUCCGUGCUAACAAGCAAUUGGAUGUAUACGGACUGACGCCUGCCCGGUGCUGGAAGGUUAAGAGGAGAGGUUAACACUUUGGUGUGAAGCUUUGAAUUUAAGCCCCAGUAAACGGCGGUGGUAACUAUAACCAUCCUAAGGUAGCGAAAUUCCUUGUCGGGUAAGUUCCGACCUGCACGAAUGGCGUAACGACUUCCCAGCUGUCUCCACCGCGAACUCGGCGAAAUUGCAUUACGAGUAAAGAUGCUCGUUACGCGCAGCAGGACGGAAAGACCCCGUGACCUUUACUACAGCUUGGUAUUGGUGUUCGGUGUGGCUUGUGUAGGAUAGGUGGGAGACUUUGAAGCAGUAACGCCAGUUAUUGUGGAGUCGUUGUUGAAAUACCACUCUGGUCACUCUGGAUAUCUAACUACGGACCCUGAUCGGGUUCUGGGACAGUGCCUGGUGGGUAGUUUAACUGGGGCGGUUGCCUCCCAAAAAGUAACGGAGGCGCUCAAAGGUUCCCUCAACCUGGUUGGCAAUCAGGUGGCGAGUGUAAGUGCACAAGGGAGCUUGACUGUGAGACUGACAGGUCGAGCAGGUACGAAAGUAGGAACUAGUGAUCCGGCAGUGGCUUGUGGAAGCGCUGUCGCUCAACGGAUAAAAGGUACCUCGGGGAUAACAGGCUGAUCUUGCCCAAGAGUCCAUAUCGACGGCAUGGUUUGGCACCUCGAUGUCGGCUCGUCGCAUCCUGGGGCUGGAGUUGGUCCCAAGGGUUGGGCUGUUCGCCCAUUAAAGCGGUACGCGAGCUGGGUUUAGAACGUCGUGAGACAGUUCGGUCCCUAUCCGCUGCGUGCGUUGGAAAUUUGAGAGGAUCUGGCCCUAGUACGAGAGGACCGGGUUGGACGGACCUCUGGUGUGCCAGUUGUACCGCCAGGUGCAUGGCUGGUUGGCUACGUUCGGGAUGGAUAACCGCUGAAGGCAUCUAAGCGGGAAGCCGGCCUCAAGAUGAGAUUUCCUUACCAACUUGUUUGGUGUGAGGUCCCCUACAGACUAUGGGGUUGAUAGGCCAGAUGUGGAAGCACAGUAAUGUGUGGAGCUGACUGGUACUAAUAGACCGAAGACUUGUAAAC
rnacentral:rRNA from 1 species